rnacentral:rRNA from 1 species
UGGCUCAGGACAACGCUGGCGGCGUGCCUAUACAGCAGUCGAGCGCGCGGACUACAGAUUAACUUCGGUAAUGACGUUAGGAAGCGAGCGGCGGAUGGGUGAGUAACACGUGGGGAACCUGCCCCAUAGUCUGGGAUACCACUUGGAACAGGUGCUAAUACCGGAUAAGAAAGCAGAUCGCAUGAUCAGCUUUUAAAAGGCGGCGUAAGCUGUCGCUAUGGGAUGGCCCCGCGGUGCAUUAGCUAGUUGGUAAGGUAAAGGCUUACCAAGGCGAUGAUGCAUAGCCGAGUUGAGAGACUGAUCGGCCACAUUGGGACUGAGACACGGCCCAAACUCCUACGGGAGGCAGCAGUAGGGAAUCUUCCACAAUGGACGCAAGUCUGAUGGAGCACCGCCGCGUGAGUGAAGAAGGUUUUCGGAUCGUAAAGCUCUGUUGUUGGUGAAGAAGGAUAGAGGUAGUACCUGGCCUUUAUUUGACGGUAUCACCAGAAAGUCACGGCUAACUACGUGCCAGCAGCCGCGGUAAUACGUAGGUGGCAAGCGUUGUCCGGAUUUAUUGGGCGUAAAGCGAGCGCAGGCGGAAGAAUAAGUCUGAUGUGAAAGCCCUCGGCUUAACCGAGGAACUGCAUCGGAAACUGUUUUUCUUGAGUGCAGAAGAGGAGAGUGGAACUCCAUGUGUAGCGGUGGAAUGCGUAGAUAUAUGGAAGAACACCAGUGGCGAAGGCGGCUCUCUGGUCUGCAACUGACGCUGAGGCUCGAAAGCAUGGGUAGCGAACAGGAUUAGAUACCCUGGUAGUCCAUGCCGUAAACGAUGAGUGCUAAGUGUUGGGAGGUUUCCGCCUCUCAGUGCUGCAGCUAACGCAUUAAGCACUCCGCCUGGGGAGUACGACGCGCAAGGUUG